rnacentral:lncRNA from 1 species
UUCCCCCCUCGUAACCCUUCCUAUUGUGACCCCUCACAUAGACUCUUCAUUAUUGAGUUUUUAUCAGAAUCCUUUGUAUGAAUAAGGAUUCAGGGGGAUCGUAUGAUUCUUAUCAUGCAUUGAAUUGAAGCCUUGUUUGCUUCUAGCAGGAGUAAGUUGUUGUUUGCUAAAAAAAUAGCUUGGAUUUAAUUGCAGCUUUAAGAUGAUGUCUUAAGAAAC